rnacentral:tRNA from 1 species
CAGAUAUUAGUUUAAUUAAAAUAUUAAUUUUGGAGAUUAAUGAAGAGACUAGUCUUAUAUCUGA